UCUUUCACUUUCAGAACAUAGAAUUAAAACCAAAAACAUGAAUUCAGGCCAUCCAGAAGCUAGUACUCUCCAUUGCCAUUACCACUAACCAAAUCACCUUAUUUUUGUAUUGUAAUGCUCAGCACCCUACAGUCUCCUUUAGGAAGCCAUUUCUUCAUUUUAAAUGUGUGUAGCAGCAGCUCUUUCCUUUUGAUUUACCAAUUUCCAAACGGUUCCCAACACAUCACCAUGCAAAACGCCUUUAACAUUCUUUGUUCAUCUAUUGCCGCUCCUUCCAUGACAAAGACAAUAAGGUUUCUUUUUCUCUUGUUUUUUUUUGGAUGUCUUUAUGGGUAUUGAUGAU
rnacentral:lncRNA from 1 species